AGGACUCGGAGGACGCAGACAACAGCGAAAGGCCACCGCCGCGACCACAACAUCCCCACCUACCCCCUCCAUCCCUUUCGAAAGACAGUGCUACCAGACAUCUCAGUCGACGGGAAAUAGGAUCCUCCUCCCUGCCCUUGUGGGACAACGUUGAGAGACAAAGAGAACGCAAUGGCGCUGAUGUGAGCAGGGAGGCCGGCCGUCUGCGUCCAUUCACAUUUUCUGCCAUUCACAUUUUUUAACAAGACGAGACGGCUGCUCAAUGCUUUUUUCUUUGUCCUGUCAUCUGCUUCUUUAAACUACAAAGAAAUAUGCAUUAAUGAAAUGCGGCUUUUUUGGGGGGGAGGCUUUCCUCUUUCUCUUUCAAUAUAAGCAGAAGGGAGAGUUUUAAAAUUUCACAACAUAAUUGAGGCCCAAGUAAGGAGUACAGAGUUUCACCAAAAAAAAAAAGUUGAAGUAACUGUUUCGUGGACAGUUUCCAAACUGAAUCAGAGACCCUGUUUAGGUUAUUGGAAUAAAAUUGGGGCUGAGUUAAAAUAAAUUCCCAGUCAGAGUAAUGGAGUCAAACAUGCCCCCUUCAAACCAAAAUUUACUUUCCAAAAAUUCUCGAAAAAGAUCGCCAAACUUUGACAUCACACUCCGUCCCACAUUAGACGGCGUAGACAAAAAAUCUUGCCCGUUUCGGUCUACAAAUAGGAUACCCACUUCCAAAUUGUGGCUCAUUUGGAUGAAGCCUCUUGUAGGAGUUUAUCCAAGUGCAAACCCAAGAAUAAAAUGUCUGCUUCAAACCAAAAUGGCCAACUUCCUGUUUAAUUUCAGGAACGAAUUCUUUGAGACCUUUUUGAGCGUCAUCACAGACAGAUCCACCCAAUUAAUUUGGUGUCGAUAGGUGGAACUGGUGAAAAUCCUCUAAAAGAACAUUUACAUAGCAUAAGCAAAAUAUAAUUUCAUUAAAAUGUUGGCUCGCUUUUCAGCAUAGCAUUUUCCAAUUGGGGCAAAUUCCCUGCUUUAAACCAAAAUGGACGACUUUCUUUUCAAUUUCAGUCAUGGCUUCUUGAAACUUUUAUCCACCUCAUAUUGUGUUGAUCUGUGAAACUGGUGUUGGGGGCACAUUUAUUGAAAAAUUUCCAAGGGGUGCUACAGAGUUUGUAUUGUUUUCUCUUACGUUAUUUUGUGGGCUCACCGACACAGUGAGUUUUGGCCGAGUUAUUUUGAGGGCCGCUGCACUUGCCAAGAUUGGUCCGUUUUCGGGCAUGUUGUGGUGAUGAAUUUGUCAAGAAUAAUAAACGCAGACAACUACGCCGCCUAA